rnacentral:rRNA from 1 species
UGUUUCGGCUAGGGGGCCAUCCCGGCUUACCAACCCGAUGCAAACUGCGAAUACCGGAGAAUGUUAUCACGGGAGACACACGGCGGGUGCUAACGUCCGUCGUGAAGAGGGAAACAACCCAGACCGCCAGCUAAGGUCCCAAAGUCAUGGUUAAGUGGGAAACGAUGUGGGAAGGCCCAGACAGCCAGGAUGUUGGCUUAGAAGCAGCCAUCAUUUAAAGAAAGCGUAAUAGCUCACUGGUCGAGUCGGCCUGCGCGGAAGAUGUAACGGGGCUAAACCAUGCACCGAAGCUGCGGCAGCGACGCUGAUGCGUUGUUGGGUAGGGGAGCGUUCUGUAAGCCUGUGAAGGUGUGCUGUGAGGCAUGCUGGAGGUAUCAGAAGUGCGAAUGCUGACAUAAGUAACGAUAAAGCGGGUGAAAAGCCCGCUCGCCGGAAGACCAAGGGUUCCUGUCCAACGUUAAUCGGGGCAGGGUGAGUCGACCCCUAAGGCGAGGCCGAAAGGCGUAGUCGAUGGGAAACAGG